AAAGGCAAACUAGCAGAGAAACAUGAUGAACUCUCAGCUGCAAAAACUCAACCAUGCUCCGUCCUCUCUCUUACCAAAAUCCUCCAUUCAUACCAAUUAUCUGAUCAGCCAUGGAAGCCCCUCCCUCAUCAACAUCCUUCCACGCCAUCCUGUCCGUCAAAAUGAUCACAAUAAGAAAAAGUCCUCCUCCUGCUUGGUAAUCCGUGCUAGUUCUGGUGAGCUCGGAUCAUCUGCAGCAGUGUCCACGGCAACCACAACUAUAACCUCAACAGAGAACAAGGCAGUUAGUGUGAAAGCUGUGGUUACAGUGCAGGUAACAGCAGGAGGGUUCCUCUCCAGCAUAGUGACUCGGCCCCUCGAUGAAAUUACCGAUUUGCUCGGCAAAACCCUUCUUUUGGAGCUUGUUAGCGCCGAGCUUGACCCCAAGACGGGGUUGGAGAAGGACAGGAUCAAGGGGUAUGCGCGCAAAGCCAGCCACAAUGAUGAGGAGGUGAUAUAUGAGAGUAGUUUCAACAUCCCAGCAAGUUUUGGAGAGGUUGGAGCAAUUGAGGUAGAGAAUGAGCACCACAAGGAGAUCUUCAUCAAGACCAUCGACCUCCAGGGCUUCCCAAAUGGCUCUGUUAAUGUUCCAUGCAAUUCUUGGGUUCAUGCCAAGUCUGACAAUCCACAGAAGAGAAUCUUUUUCACUAACAAGUCUUACAUACCAUCAGAGACACCAAGUGGGUUGAAGAGGCUAAGAGAACUAGAGCUGGAAAAUUUGCGAGGAAAUGGAGAGGGUGAAAGAAAAACAUCCGAUAGGAUUUACGAUUAUGACACAUACAAUGAUCUUGGAGAUCCUGAUAGCAAAGAUGAACUGGCUAGGCCUGUCCUUGGCAGCAAAGAACAUCCAUAUCCCAGGCGCUGCAGAACAGGACGGCCACGCACCAAAAAAGACCCCUUAUCAGAAAAAAGAAGCAGCAGUGUGUAUGUACCAAGAGAUGAAGAGUUUGCAGAGGUCAAACAACUCACAUUUUCAGCAAAGACCCUGAAAUCUGUGCUGCACGCGUUGCUGCCUUCGCUUGAGACAGCGCUUCUUAAUCCAAAAUUAGGAUUUCCAUACUUCACAGCGAUUGAUUCACUGUUCAAUGAAGGAGUCACAUUGCCUAAGCCAAAAACUAGUGGGUUUUUUCAGACAAUCAUCCCUAGGCUAGUCAAGACCAUUACUGAUGGGGAAGACGAUCUUUUGCUCUUUGAGACCCCCGAAAUAAUUGACCGUGAUAAGUUUGCUUGGUUUAGAGAUGAAGAAUUUUCUCGGCAAACUCUAGCUGGUCUUAAUCCGUACAGUAUAGAACUUGUCACGGAGUGGCCAUUGAAGAGUAAACUUGACCCUGAGAUUUACGGCCCACCUGAAUCAUUGAUUACAACAGAACUGAUGGAGAAAGAGAUCAAAGGUUGUAUGACUGUCGGUGAGGCUUUAAAAAGAAAGAAGAUGUUUAUUUUGAAUUACCAUGAUCUUUACAUGCCUUAUGUGAACAAAGUAAGAGAGAUUGAAGGAACCACACUGUACGGUUCUCGGACACUACUCUUCCUCACCGAGGAUGGGACGCUGAGGCCUGUUGCCAUUGAACUCACUCGACCACCGGUUGGUGACAAGCCACAAUGGAAGCAAGUGUUCACCCCAACCUGGGAUGCCACUGGUUGCUGGCUGUGGAGGCUCGCUAAAGCCCAUGUUUGUGCUCAUGAUGCUGGAUAUCAUCAGCUUGUCAUCCACUGGUAAGCAAAUCUGUGCCCAAGUGAUGCUUCUAGCUCAUGCCUUCAGUUCAAGCAAGAAUCUACUCUAAUGGGGAUUUGAAAAGUAGCAAAUAUGUCAGUGUUGCAUGGCUGAGGACUCAUUGUGCUACAGAGCCAUGCUUAUGACCAGCUCUGGCGCUUUGACACGGAAGCUUUGCCAGCUGAUCUCAUCAGAAGGGGAAUGGCAGUUGAGGAUCCUACAGCUGAGCAUGGCUUGAAGCUAACAAUUGAAGACUACCCAUUUGCAAAUGAUGGUCUCAUUCUUUGGGAUGCCAUUAAGGAGUGGGUGGGUGACUAUGUAAACCACUACUAUCCAGACCCAACUCUUGUUGAGUCUGAUACGGAGCUUCAAGGUUGGUGGACAGAAGUUAGGACAAAAGGCCAUGCAGACAAGAAAGAUGAGCCAUGGUGGCCUGUUUUGAAAACCCCAGAAAAUCUAAUUCACAUUUUGACAACCAUUAUUUGGGUAACAGCUGGGCAUCAUGCAGCUGUGAACUUUGGACAGUACAUGUACGCUGGAUACUUCCCAAACAAGCCUACAAUUGCUCGUACCAAUAUGCCAACCGAAGAUCCGUCUGAGGAGUUUUUCAAGAACUUUUUGAAGAAACCCGAAAUGGCACUGCUGAUGUGCUUCCCCUCACAGAUUCAAGCAACAAAAGUGAUGGCUGUCUUGGAUGUGUUAUCUAAUCAUUCACCUGAUGAGGAGUAUCUUGGUGAGAAUCUGGAGUCAUCCUGGGCUGAAAAUCCUGUGAUAAAUGCUGCAUUCGAGCGGUUCAAUGGAAAUUUGAAGAGGCUGGAAGGAAUUAUUGAUGAGAGGAAUACCAACUUGAAACUGAAAAACAGAGUUGGAGCAGGUGUUGUUCCAUAUGAGCUUUUGAAGCCAUUCUCAACACCUGGGGUCACGGGAAUGGGAGUUCCUAACAGCAUCUCCAUCUAAAUUUGAUGAUGAUGCUCUAAAAACUGUACGAGUACUUGGCCCUUAAUAAAUGAAUGAAUAACAUGGGUUGCCUAAAAGUUCUGUUCAAAA